UCCUCCCAUUUUCCUUGCUGCCAAUGAUCUUCUUAUCCCAAAUCAGAUUCAACCCACUUUAUGGCCAUGCCCAUACCCUGUUUCAACCACCCCAAUUGCUCCCAUAUCGUUUUUUCUACCCUCAGCAACAACCAAAACAUGAAGAAAUAAAAAAAAAAUGUCACAACUCAUUGAAAAUAUUUUAAUCAAGCCCAAAUCACAUAAGUUAGCAACCUAAAUCAAUAAAUAUGCAAGCCUAAUAUCUCAAAUAAAAAAUCAAGUCCAAUUAAGAAAACAAUCCCAACUUAAAAUGGAAUCCAAAUACCAAUAAAUCCAAAGCCUAAAUAAUAUUGAAAGUAAGCUCGAACUUGAAUUCAAACCUAAAAUAGUUACUAUGUAAAUCAAGAUGGAAACCUCCUUCUUACCAUUAAUCCCACCUUGAAACCCAUAGACAAGAAACAACGAUGGUAGAAAGGAUAGCAAUGGAGUUGAAGGGCAUAGUGGCCAUGAGUUGCUUGAUUGAAAGCAGAAGGGGAUGAAC
rnacentral:lncRNA from 1 species